GAUGAAGAACGUAGUGAAAUGCGAUAAGUAGUGUGAAUUGCAGAAUUCAGUGAAUCAUCGAAUCUUUGAACGCACAUUGCGCCCCUUGGUAUUCCAUGGGGCAUGCCUGUUCGAGCGUCAUUUGUACCCUCAAGCUCUGCUUGGUGUUGGGUGUUUGUCCCUCCUUUUGCGUGUGGACUCGCCUUAAAGCGAUUGGCAGCCGGCAUAUUGGCCCUGGAGCGCAGCACAUUUUGCGCUUCUAGUCAUGAUUGUUGGCAACCAGCAAGUACAAUUCUCACUUUUGACCUCGGAUCAGGUAGGGAUACCCGCUGAACUUAAGCAUAUCAAUAAGCGGAGGA
rnacentral:misc_RNA from 1 species